UCAGAUGCUAUAAGAGCUUUUCAAUUUAUUGAAUUUUGCUGAAAAAACAUGAAAAUUUAGUCCAUUUUAGCAUGUACAUUCUUUAUUCAUCUAAAACACAAAUCAUAGCUAUUGAUGGAAAAAUCCAUCAAUUGUCAAUCUGCCAUCUGUUUCAAGAUAGGAGGGCAAACAAUAGUAUACUAUAAAAAUGUCAGGCAGCGCAAAAGCCAUUCAUUGGCCCUUAAAACUAAUCCUUAAAACUAUGCUGGCCAUGAUACAGUGAUCUCCUUUAAGUUGUCUCCACUGACAGUGUAAUUGUUUAUAUAGUGAAAAUCAAAGCUACCCUACUACCAUUUGCUGUUUUCCUGGAGGAGUGUUCUUGAGUCAUUGCAGUUUGGGAUUAACACCAAAUACUGCACACACCUGGCAAGUACAGAGCUACCUUUUAAGAUAUACUUGAAGUUUCAAAUCAGGUUUUUUUUACUGCUGUUUUAAAAAGGGACAUUUUUUAAAUGAGCUAUUUCAAUUUUCAGAUGAAUAAUCUCUGGAACCUUGUCAUUUAACCAUGGUAGGUUUUUCUCUAUUCAGGAUGUGCUACAUAAAGGAUUUUUUUAAGACAGACAGGUAUCCUUAAGAAAAUGGAAAUGCAGUCCUAAUAAAGCCAAUAGAAAGCAGCGUAAACUAUGACAGGCAAAAUGUAAGAUGGAAGGUAAAGGGCUACGAUAGAACUUGAAUAGUCAAAAAUAUAAAAGAAGAAAUUAUGUCAGGAAAAACAAACAGUUACCUACCUUUUCGUUACUGUUGUUCUUUGAGAUGUGUUGCUUAUAUCCAUUUCAAGUGGAUGUGUGCGUGCCACGUGCACAGUCAGAAAGUUUCCCCUAGUGGUACCAGUCAGGUCAGCUUAGAUGCCCCCUGGAAUCAUGUUGUCAUGGUGCCGCAUAUAGGUAGGUCCCUGCCAACCUGCUGCCUCCUCAGUUCCUUCUUGUCGGAGGCUCCAACAGAGGGGAAAGCGGGCGGGUCUUGGAAUGGGAACGAGCAACAUAUCUCGAAGAAGAACCGUUACAAAAAGGUAAGUGACUGUGUUUUCUUCGAGUGCUGCUUCAUGUCGAUUCCAAGCAGGUGAGUCCCAAGCAGACUGUCGGAGGAGGGUCGGAGCUCAUGGAUUCGCUGAAAAAGUGCCAUUCUGAUGAAAGCUGAAUCGUCCCUGGCAUGCUGGAUGAAAGCUGUAUUGUCCCUGGGAUGCUGGCAUAAUGCAAAGUGAAUGUGUGGAUUGACGGCCAGGUUGCUGCCCUGCACAUCUCCUGCAUAGAGACUUAUGCCAGGAAUGCAGCUGAGGAGGCCUGCGUCCUUGUGGAAUGCGCCGUUAGCGCUGGGACUGGCACUUUCACCAGGUCUUAAGCUCAAAUGCAGAACGUGAUCCAUGAUGAAAUUCUUUGGGAUGAUACAGGGAGACCCUUCAUCCUGUCUGCUAGAGCGGCAAAGAGCUGGUUAGACUUUUGGAACUGUUGUGUCCUUUCAAUAUAGAAAGCCAGUGCCUGCCUGACAUCCAGAGAGUAGAGCCUUUGUUCCCAGCUGUAAGCAUGUAAAACACUGGGAGAAAGAUGUCCUGACUUGCGUGAAACUGAGGUACUACUUUUGGCAGGAAGGCUGGGUGAGGCCACAACUAGAUCUUGUCUUUAUAGAAUGCCAUAUAUGGAGGCUCGAAUGUCAAGGCCUUGAGCUCAGACACCCUCCUGGCUGAAGUUAUCGCUAUCAGGAAUGCUACUUUCCACAAGGAGGUAGAGGAGCGAGCAUGUUGCUAAGGGCUCAAAGGGAGGUCCCAUUAAUCUGGAGAGCACCAAGUUAAGGUCCCACACUCAUAUCAGAUGGAAGACUGGAGCAUAUAACCUGUCUAGGCCCUUGAGAAAAUGACCUACCAUCGGACCUAUCAAAGAUCGAUCAACCGUCCACCCUGGGUGGAACUCCGAGAUGGCUGCCAGAUGAACCUUUAAGGAUGACACCAGACCUGACUGCUUCAAGUACAACAAAUAGUCCAAGAUGAAGGGUAUUGAUGCUUGAAUCGGAGAUGUGCCCUUUUGUGUCACACAAAUCGAAAAUCUCUUCCACUUGGCUAAGUAGCUCUAAUAGACAGCUUUUGGCUGACACGUAGGACCUCCCUGACAGAUGCUGAGCAUGCCAACUGCAUGUGGUUUAGCCAGGAAACUUCCAGGCUGUGAGGUGGAGAAACUUGAGGUCGGGACGCUGGAGGCAACUGUGGUCUUGAGUGAUGAGGUCCAGCACCUAUGGCAGGGUGAUCGGAGAGGCUACUGACAGUUCCAAGAGUGUUGUAUACCAGUGUUGGAAGGGCCAGGCCAGUGCUAUCAGGAUGACUGAUGCUGUCUCUUCUGACCUUGAGCAGGAUCUUGUGAACGAGUGUGUGUGGCGGAAGACAUGCAUAGAACAGACAGUCCUUCCACGGUGUCCACAUUUGAGCCUGGGCUGUGAUUCAGGAAGGAGCAAAACUGCUGACACUUCCUGUUCAGUUUCAUCGCAAACAGGUCCACUUGAGGAAUUCCCCACCAUUGGAAGAUCCUGUUCACAAUGUCCGGGCGAAUCAACCACUUGUGGCCUUGGAAGGAUCUGCUGAGGUGGUCCAUCAGCUCAUUCUAGGAUCCCCGAAGUUAAGACACCUCUAGGUGUAUUGAGUGAGCUAUGCAGAAGUCCCACAUAGCUGAGGGCUUCCUGGCAUAAGGGAGGAGAGAGCUCCACCCUGUCUCUUUUAUGUAAAACAAAGAUCGGUGUUGUAUUGUCCAUCAUAACUGAUACACACCAGCCCUCCAGGUGGGAUUGGAAGGUUUGAUAGGCUAAGCGAACCGGUCUCAGCUCUCUGACAUUGAUAUGGAGUGAGUUCUUCUUGGGACCAGAAGCCUUGUAUCCUGAGGGCCCCUAGAUGCACACCCCAUCCCAACAUUGAAGCAUCCGUGGCCAGCGACAUCGAUGGUUACCACCUGGAGAAGGGCACUCCUGCACAACUGCCUGAGGGUUGAGCCACCACUGGACGGAUUUAACAACCCAAGUAGAAAGCGAGACUACCUUGUCCAAGCUGUCCCUGCUUGGACAGCAUACUGAAGCCAGCCAUAUGUGCAGCCGGCCAUGUUACUGAGCAGCUUCAAGCAGCUUGGUGCUGUCGUGGUGGGGAAAACGUUGAGUCUCCUCUAUGAUGGGGCACAUGAAAGCGCAACUCUGGCAGGAAUGCCCUGGCUUGGGUGGAGUCUAGGACUGCUCCUAUAAACUCUAUCCUCUGGUUUGGGGAUAGGGUGUACUUGGGCAUAUCCAGCAAUAAACCCAGACAUUUGAAGGUCAGUUGCAUCAGAUGUACAUGUGCCUCUACCUGAGCCCUGAAGUGGCCCUUGACAAGCCAGUCAAUGAGACACAGGAACACCUGUACCUGCCGUCUUCUCAGGAAGGUGGCCACGACUGUCACACAUUUGGUGAACACCUGAGGGGCCACUGACAGGCCGAAGGGAAGGCCUGUAAACUGUACCAUUCACUACAAACCUGAGAAAGUCUCUGGGAUGGGACUAUAGAUACGUCCAAGUAUGUGUCCUUCAAGUUCAGGGUGGCAUACCAGCCCCCUGGAUCCGGGGAGGGGAUGAUGGUAGCCAAAGAGAUCAUGCUGAACUUCCAUUUCUUCAUGAAUCUGUCGAGAAUGGGUCUGAGACCCUCUUUGGCUUUGGGGUUCAAGAAAUAUUGGGAGUAAAAACCCUUACCCCUUAGGUCCUGAAGGACCUCCUCUACCACUCCUGAGACUGGGAGCCUUUGCACCUCCUGCAUGAGAAGCUGCUUGUGAGAAGAGUCUCUGAAGAGGGACAUGGAAGGGGGAUGGGAGGGAGGGGAGAAGCAGAAUUGGAGAGGAUAGCCCAUGUCUACCGUGCAGAGAAAACUCAGCAUUCUGAGCUUAUCUGGACCCACACAGGAUAGAAGUGGGAUAGACGGUUCAGAAAACAGGGAGAAGGAUCCAGUGACUGGACUGGUGCAUCGCCCCUGGACACACCAUCAAAAAGGCAUGCUUGGAACCGAAGGACUGCCUCUUCAAGCCCUGGCCUUGAUUGAUCUGUUAUUCCUUCCCUGCUUCCUGGAGAAGUCCUGCCUAGGCUGGGGAGGACAGGAAAGCGGGGGAGGCUGGGCCUUAACAUGCUUUCUCUGGGUAGCCGGAGUAUGCAGUCCCAGGGAUUUAAAUGUUACCCUUGCAUCCUUUAGGCUAUGGAGUUUGGAGUCCUUCUGCUCCGAAAACAACCCCGAGCCAUCAAAAGAACAGGUCUUGGAUUGUCUGGGGAACCUCUGGGGAGAGGCCCGACAGCUGAAGCCACAAACUUCUCCUGGCUAUGGCGGAGGACAUGAUUCAUGUGGCUGAGUCAGUUGCAUACAGGGAGACCUGCAAUGAGGUCCUUGCCCCUGACUUGCUCUCCUCCACCGCAGCUGCAAACUCUAUUCUAGAGUCUGUAGGGAUCAGCUCCUUGAACUUCAUCAUGCUAUCCCGUGAAUUGAAAUUCUAGCAGCUCAAAGUUGCUUGCUGGUUAGCAAUCCGAAGCUGGAGCCCCCACUCCCACCCCCGGUGGAGUACACCUUUCUGCUGAAGAGGUUCAGCUUCUUCGAGUCCUUGGAUUUUGGAGUUGGGCCCUGUUGCCCCUAUCUUUCUCUCAUUCGCAGCUGCUACCACCAGUGACCUCAGCUGUUGAUGAAUAAAAAGGUAUUCGUAUCCUUUUGAAAGUACAAAAGAUUUCCUUUCUAUCCACUUAGCUGUACGUGGAAUAGAGGCAUGAGUCUGCCACAAGGUCUUAGUGGUGGCCUGGAUAGUUUUUAUGAGGGGUAAUGCCACCCUUGAGGGCCCCUUGGUGCUAAGAUGUUCACCAUGGGGUCCACUGACUUGACCACUUCCUCGGCCUGGAGACCCAUGUUUUGGGCCACCCUGUGCAACAGCUCCAUGGGCUCGAUUGUCAAUGGGGGUGGGAUGGUAGCGCAAAAAGAUCACCACCUCUCCACUGCCUCAUCGGCAGAACGAUGACAAGGAUGCCCUGGGCAUUACCGGGCCCUUCUGACCCCCAGCUUUCAUCCUGCACAGUGCCCUGUUUGGUGCCGGGAAUGGUCACAGUGCCGGCAUCUGCACAGGCCUCUUCUUCGAGGUCCAAAGCUGUCUUUGUGCCUCAUGGUAGGAGAAGGUCCCGGGGCGGUUAAAGGGCAUGCCCUUCUGAAGCGACAGACUGGGAGCCCCUGGAAUAGGUACCUUGGGCCUGAUGGUAUGCCCACGGGGUCCAGAAUGGCCAUUCCUUGGGCCUCUGCCACUGCACCGGCCACGGUACCAUGGUGGGUGGCUUGACCUUCCUAUAGUGGCGCCAUUCUGAACUGUGCUGGCCGCACCUUGAGUAUUAAGACUCUGCCUCGGAGUCCAGCGAGUGACUCCAAGCACAGACACCACAGCGGUGCCAUCUGGGACAGUGCAGGGGAACGGUGCUGGGGGGCAGGAAGAGGAAAGAAGGCGUGCGAUGCUCCAUCGCUGCUGGCUUGCCUCUGGAUGGCGCCAUACCUUGUGGUGCCAGAGGUCUUUCUCACCUGGCAGGGGACGGUGGUGCCAUCAUGGCCGCCUCGAAUGUGUCUGGGGUGGAAGGGAGCUCCAGCUCCUCCACCUGGCACUCCCUAACAGGAGAGUCCACUGGCACAAAACUCUACGGACCCCUUCUUGUGCCUCUGGUCAAUGCCAACUGCAUAUGUGGACUUCGGUGCCAGGGAGUGACAGUGAUGAGAGUCUCUAUGCGUAGAGUCCUUCCUCAGUGCUGUAGCGCCUCUAACAGAGGCCAGUGCACUACGCACAGAGGUGCUGGGUGCCGUGUCCUGCUAGCCUGGAGCCGGUUGGGGACAGAGGGCUGACUCCAUGAUGAAUUGCUUGAGCCUGAAGUCCCUUUCUUUUUCAGUUCCAGGGUGGAAUCCUUUGCAGAUCCUGCAAUGACUUGUUUGAUGGGAUUCCCCAAGGCACUUUAGGCAGGAAUCGUGGGGAUCACCCUUUGGCAUAGGUUUGGAGAUAAGAGAAAUCACUAGAGAACUGCUUGCUGAAGCAAGAGAAACAGGUCCAACGACCGUCACUGGCGGUGGAACUGAGGAUGUGGAGGGUUGGUCUUGGACUUCUGUGUGGCGCCAUGAAGGAGCAACUCCAGGGGAUGCCUCAGCUGACCCAACAGGUAAAGUCUGAUAGGGUCUUUGUCCCACUGGCUCAUCUCCUUGAAUAGCUGUUAAGUCAUGCAUACUGAAACUUCUCAACCGUUCACUUAUUGCACCUUGACCCUGGAACACAAUGAUAGCACUUUUCAAGAACAAAUGGAGAAACCUUUAGAUUUGCUCUUCAAAUUGAGAUGCAGUUACCUCAGCUUGAUUGAAGAAAGACCGCAGAAAGAAGCCAGAAAUCCUGUAAACAGUGUGAUUACCAGCAAGAAAGUGUAACAAAGACAGAAAAAAAAGAAUGUUCAUCUUUCACUAAUAGCUUGAACAUAACAGUGUAGUCUAUAUUUUGAUUUACCACACUCAGCGGAUCUCCAUGAUCCAAAAAUGUACACGCUAUUCAUUUUAAAACCAACAGACAUAGUAUAAAGAUGCUCACAAAAUUGCAGUCCUUAAAUUACAUCCCCCUAUUUUUAAACACGUUACUUUUAGAAUUAAUUCUUUGACUUAAGAUGGGUAAAUAUCCAAUACCACUUCACUUUUUUGUCCAUAAUAUUUACUCUGAACCGUUUAGUAUAAAGGAAUUUACCU